UUCUAAACUCUUGUUAAGCGUAUGAAAUUCGUGUAUUUCCUUGUGUGAUGUUGAGAACGAUUUGGAGACUUGUUGCUUAUUUGUUAGUGUUGUAUUCCUUGCUGUAAAUUGUGUUUUUGUUAUCAAAAUGGUUAUCUCCUCAUUUUCAUUUGAGCAUGUCAAUUGUAUUGUAUAUGAGACAUGAUUGUGGUAUAAGAAUGUAUCAUUUCGAGGGUCGUAUCGCGCGCCGCGAUGGAUAUUAUAUUCGAGGGACGUAUUGCGCGCCGCGAAGGUUACUAUUAUCGAGGGUCGUGUCAUACGCCGCGACAGGUGCAUGGACAGAUAUGUCCCCCAUGGGUUCCGGACUGAGAGACAGCGGGUGUGUAUCGUUAGGGAAUACAUGCAUCACUAUACUUGACAUUGCAUCUCAUGGCAUUGCACAUCUUAUUAUUGAUGAACUUGAAAACGUGUUUUGCUGACCUUGUGAGUGUUUCUCUGUGAAGCCUGUGACUGUUGAAUGUUGAGUUGUUAUUGAGAAUGUGUAAACUGAUAGAGUGUGGUUAUUGAGUUGUGUUUGGUAAAUUGUAAACUGUUAGGCUGUAGCGUAGAGGUUUAGAUAGGGUGUAAGGAGUGCCCGUAUUUUGUUCACUUAACUUGUGUUUAGAGGUUUGUUUGUUGGGUACCGCGUGGUUUGGUACUCACCCCUUGCUUCUACAAAUUUUUUGUAGGUUACGAGCCCGGAUUUUUGUGAUACCUUCCAUUCUCUUCAUUUCGAAGGCAUCUUGUGGAGGAUUGUGAGGUAGCUGCUUGUCAUCUCAGCGAACUUUCCUGCUCCAGUUUAUGACUUUGUUUUUACUUGAAAGACAAUUUCAUUUUAGACUUUUGUUUUAUUUCAAUUCUAAUUUUUACAUUAGAGGCUUGUGCACGUGACAACUUGGUUUUGGGGAUUGAAUCAAUAUGACUUGGUUUUCUUUUAUAGAAAUUGUUGUGUGAUUGUCAUUUACUUCCGCACUUUGUUAGAUAUUGGGUUUUAGGCUGACUUGUCUUGGUGGGAUAAGACGAGUGCCAUCACACCCAUUUUGGGUCGUGACAAAAUGUUAUCAAAGCCCCAGGUUCAUAGGUCUCACGUGUAUACAAGCCGAGUGUACGUAGAGUCUCAAAGAUCAGUACGGACACGUCUGUACUUAUCUUUGAGAGGCUACAAGGAUUACUAGGAAAACUUCUUUUUGUUCAUUCUUUCUCAUCGUGCGCAGUAACCUUCUUUAGUACUGAGUUGUUGUAUACUCUUUUGACAGAUGACGAGAACUAGAACUAAUGUUACUGGUGGUAGAGGGGAGGCACUUCUCGAGGCAAUUGUUGAGGCCCCAGCUAGAGGUAGGGGUAGAUCUCGAGCUAGAGGUCGUGCUAGUAGUACGACAAUAGCCAGAGGUCGUGGACGUGGAGCAGCACCAGUGAGAGGUCGUGCUAGAGAGGUCUCUACAGAACCUCAGAUUGAUGGCAGGGAGGACCAGGUUCCUCCAGAUCCUGUAGUCACACCUUUGCUUCAGGAUACACUAUUGAGGGUGUUAAGUGUGCUUGAGGGCUUUUCUCAGGGUGGUGGUGCGACUACCACACCACAUGACUAUCGUACUAGAGAGGGGGCUCAGACCCAAGAGCAGCAACAAGCUCCAGUUGUUCAGGAUGCGGUGGGGAAACUACCAGUAGAUCCCGCGGUUCAGAAUGAUGUUGCACCAGCAGUUGGGGGUCAAGUUGCAUCGAUGGUUAUUCUGACAGAGGAUGAGCAGCGUAGGUAUGAGAGAUUUCGAAAGAUGGACCCACAUCAGUUUCAGGGUGGGAAGAGCGAGGACGCUUAUGAGUUUCUAACUACGUGCUGAGAGUUACUAGAGGUGGUUGGAUUAGCUGAGUCACAUGGGGUUCGAUAUGCUACACUCCAGCUUCGUGGACCAGCGAGAGACUGGUGGAGGACUUAUUCCAGAUGUUUUCCAGUUGGAUCUCCUCCAGUGACUUGGGAGCAGUUUUCUAGCGCAUUCCAAGAUCGUUUUAUCCCAUGGAGCGUGAGAGAGGAGAGUCGCUUGAGGUUUGAGAGUCUGAGAUAGGAUGGUUUAUCGGUUAGAGAGUAUGAGGUGGGUUUUUUCCAGUUGUCUAGGCAUGCGUUGGCCAUUAUUCCAAAUGAGACAGAGAGGAUCCGCAGAUUUGUGAGGGGAUUGACUUUCUCUAUCAGGUCAGCUGUGUUUCGGACAUCUAGGGAGGGGACUUCUUUCCAGUCUAUUGUGAGCGCCGCCAAAGAGGCGGAAUUGAUGGAGAGAGAGGAGUUUGGGGACACUAAAAGAGCUCGUAUAUCAGGUCAAUUUCAGGGUGCCUCAUCUAGAGGUAGGGGAUCACAGAGAGUGAGUGGUUCUUUUCAGCAGCGGGGACCUAUUCAUGCAUCUAUGCCGACAUUUGAGGGUGGCCAGACAUCUAGGGGUUCUUAUGGACCAGGUCAGGGCUCGUACGGUUCACAGCAGCGACCUACAGGGCGAGGAAAUUAUAGUGGAUUUUCAGGGUCCACACAACAGUUCCCAGGUCAGAAAUUUUGUUUUACUUGUGGAGAUCCCGAUCAUCUAAUGCGGCAGUGUACUUCUCAAAGGGGUCGUGGUGGGCCUCGACCUAAUUCUUAAUUCCAGACUAGACCACCAGCACCACAGGGUAGAGGUCGUGGCAGAGUUCAGUCAGGUAGAGGUGAUAGAGUUUCUAGUAGCGGUGUUGCAGCUCAGCAGAGUGGGGGUAGAGGUACCACCCAGGAUGGAGGUGGACGAGGAGGCCACUGCUAUGCUUUCCCCGGGAGACCUGAGGCGGAGACCUCCGAUGCUGUUAUUACAGGUAUCAUCUCAGUAUGCCAUCGACCUGCGUCUGUGUUGUUUGAUCCAGGUUCUACAUUCUCUUAUGUGUCUACGUAUUUUGCUGCUAAAUUUGAUAUGAUAUGUGAUAGCAUGACUGUACCUAUUCGUGUUUCUACACCCGUGGGUAAGCCCUUAGUGGUGGAUCGAGUGUAUCGAUCCUGUCUUGUUUCUUUGGCUGGGUAUGACACUUGGGUAGACUUAAUCAUUCUGGGAAUGGUGGACUUUGAUGUUAUCUUGGGUAUGGAUUGGCUUUCUCCUUAUCAUGAUGUCCUUGAUUGUAAUACUAAGACUGUGACUUUAGCAAUGCCUGGUGUUCCGAGGGUUGAGUGGAAGAGUGUUAAUGGUUCUUAUCCUAGCAAGGUCAUCUCUUUUAUCCGUGCUAAGAGAUUGGUGGAGAGGGGGUAUUUGUCUUACUUAGCUUUUAUUCGGGAUAGUAGUGUUGAAACACCUCCCAUGGACUCUGUUCCCGUGGUUCAGGAGUUUUCCGAUGUAUUUCCUUCUGAUCUUCCAGGUGUUCCUCCCGAUAGGGAUAUCGAUUUUGCUACUGAUUUGGAGUCGGUCACUAAACCUAUUUCUAUACCUCCAUAUCGUAUGGCCCCAACAGAGUUGAAAGAAUUGAAGGAUCAGUUGCAGGAUUUAUUGAGUAAGGGUUUUAUUCGCCCUAGUGUAUCACCUUGGGGUGCCCCUGUAUUGUUUGUGAUGAAGAAGGAUGAGACUAUGAGAAUGUGUAUUGAUUACAGACAGUUGAACAAGGUAACAGUUAAGAAUAAGUAUCCUCUUCCGCGUAUUGAUGACCUAUUUGAUCAGUUACAGGGAGCAUCAUUGUUCUCUAAGAUUGAUUUGAGGUCUGGGUAUCAUCAGUUGAAGAUUAGGGCAUCAGAUAUUCCUAAGACAACUUUUCGGACCCGGUAUGGACAUUAUGAGUUUCUAGUGAUGUCCUUCAGAUUGACUAAUUCCCCUACAGCAUUCAUGGAGUUGAUGAAUGGGGUGUUUUGACCAUACCUUGAUUCUUUUGUGAUUGUUUUCAUCGAUGACAUCUUGGUUUACUCUAAGACUGAGGACGACCAUGUCCGACACCUGAGGAUUGUACUUCAGAGGCUGAGAGAAGAGAAAUUGUAUGCCAAGUUCUCAAAGUGUGAGUUCUGGCUUACUUCUGUGACAUUCUUGGGACACGUGGUGUCCAAGGAGGGUAUUAGAGUAGAUCCGGCCAAGAUUGAGGCAGUUAGAGGCUGGACGCGACCUACUUCACCUACUGAGAUUAGGAGUUUUGUGGGAUUGGCAGGCUAUUAUCGACGAUUUGUUCGGAGUUUCUCUACAAUUGCAGCUCCAUUGACUAGAUUGACUCGACAGGAUGUGAGUUUUCAGUGGUCUGAUGAGUGUGAGGAGAGCUUUCAAAAGCUCAAGACUUUGUUGACUUCUGCUCCUGUGUUGACUCUACCUGAGGAAGGUGUAGACUUUACUGUGUAUUGUGAUGCUUCAGGAGUUGGUUUGGAUGGUGUGUUGAUGCAGAAGGGGAAAGUGAUUGCUUAUGCUUCUAGGCAGUUGAAAUCCCAUGAGAAGAACUACCCUACUCAUGAUUUGGAGUUGGCGGCUGUGGUAUUUGUACUUAAGUUAUGGCGUCAUUAUUUGUAUGGGGUGCAUUGUGAGAUCUUCACUGAUCAUCGGAGUCUUCAGUAUAUCUUUAGCCAGAGGGAUUUGAACUUGAGGCAACGAAGAUGGCUUGAGUUGCUGAAAGACUAUGAUGUGACCAUUCUGUAUCAUUCAGGAAAGGCCAAUGUUGUGGCCGAUGCUCUGAGUAGGAAGACUCCUAGCAUGGGGAGUCUUGCAGCGCUUAGUAUUAUGGAGAGACCAUUGGCUUGAGAUGUGCAGAUAUUAGCUAACAGCCUUGUCCGCUUGUAGAUUUCAGAAGAGAGUGAUGGGAUGAUUGCUUUUAUUGAGGCUCGGUCUUCUUUAGUCGAGCAAAUCCGUGCACACCAGUUUGAUGAUGAAAAAUUAUGUCUCAUUCGAGACAAAGUAUUGAGAGGGGAAGCUAAGGAGGUUGUCCUUGAUUCUGAUGGUGUAUUGCGGAUCGGAGGCAGAAUUUGUGUGCCCAGGACAGGCGAUUUGAUUAGAUUGAUUCUUGAGGAGGCCCAUUGUUCUCGGUAUUCCAUCCAUCCGUGAGCGGCGAAGAUGUAUCAUGAUCUGAGUCAAUAUUAUUGGUGUUGUGGGAUGAAGAGAGAUAUUUCAGACUUUGUUUCGAUGUGUUUGACUUUCCAGCAGGUCAAGUGUGAGCACCAGCGGCCCGGGGGUGUAUCUCAGAGGAUGCCUAUUCCUACUUGGAAGUGGGAGCGGAUUACUAUGGACUUUGUUGUGGGUUUGCCUACCACAGUGGGUGGUUAUGACUCUAUUUGGGUUGUUGUUGAUAGGCUGACCAAGUCUGCCCACUUCAUCCUGGUUCGGGUGAAGUAUACAUCAGAAAAGUUAGCUGAGCUAUAUAUCAGUCAGAUUGUGCGACUACAUGGAGUUCCUAUUUCUAUCAUAUCAGAUCGAGGUUCACUAUUUACUUCUUGUUUCUGGAAGGCAUUACAACAUGGUCUGGGUACUCAGUUAGAUAUGAGUACGGCAUUUCACCCUCAAACAGAUGGUCAAUCUGAGCGGACCAUUCAGGUAUUGGAAGAUAUGCUUCGAGCGUGUGUGAUCGAUUUUGGUGCAAGAUGGGAUCGACAUUUACCCUUAGCGGAAUUCGCCUAUAAUAACAGUUAUCACUCUAGUAUCCAAAUGGCCCCAUUCGAGGCAUUGUAUGGUAGACGGUGUAGAUCUCCUAUUGGUUGGUUUGAUUCGGCGGAGAUGGACUCUUUUGAUACAGACUUGCUUAGAGAUGCUAUGGAGAAAGUUCGUAUGAUUCAGUAUAGAUUAUUGACAGCUCAGAGUCGACAAAAGAGUUAUGCAGACCGGAGAGUUAGAGCCUUGGUGUUUAUGGAGGGUGAUCAUGUUUGGCUUCGAGUAUCACCCAUGAAGAGUGUGAUGAGGUUUGGAAAGAAGGGCAAGCUUAGCCCUAGGUUCAUUGGACCUUUUGAGAUUUUGAGCCGAGUGGGAGAGGUGGCCUAUAAGUUGGCCUUGCCACCUAGUUUGUCGGCAGUUCAUCCUGUUUUUCAUGUCUCUAUGCUUCGGAAGUAUAUUCCGGAUGAAUCUCAUGUGAUUUCACUCGAUUCUGUGGAGUUGGGUCCAGACUUGACAUUUGAGGAGGAGCCUAUAGCUAUUUUGGAUAGGCAAAUUCGAAAGCUUAGGACCAAAGAGAUUGCUUCAGUGAAGGUGCAAUGGAAGCACCGAACAGUGGGAGAGGCAACUUGGGAGACUGAGUCUGACAUGCGUGCCAAAUAUCCUCAACUUUUUGAAGCUUCAGGUACUUUCUUUUACUCUAUGUUCGAGGACGAACAUGAUUUUUAGUGGUGGAUAAUGUAAUGACCCAAAAGCUCCUCUUUAGAGUUUUGAAUAUUUGUUUAACUUAAGUUACUUAAUCGAUAGUUUAUGGGCUAAAGUGAUAAUUUAUUUAAGAUCCUAUACUAUUUAGCCUUUAUUUAAUAAAAUAUGUAGGUAAAACCUAUCACAAUUAGUACUUAAGUAAUUCACAUAAGAAAAAAAAAGAAAGAAGAAAUUUGGAACGGAAGAAGGGCUGCCGACGGUUUUAGGUAUGAACUAAAGUGUUCGUUUUAUUUCUUCUUCUUGCGUAGCAUUAAUUGCACAUCUGCAGAUGAUUCCAUCAAUUGUUAUACAUAUGCACAUAACAAUAUUAUAUUAUUAUAUGAAUGGAAAGUGAGAUUUGAAACAAGGAUUUUGGUCAAGAAUUGUAGGUAAAUUGGAAAAGACAAAAAAUAGGAUGCUUAUUUGUGUGAUGCAGGCAAAGAUUGCCAUUAUAUAUAAAUAUAAUGUGAGGAUUAAAUGAAGUAAUGAUGAGGUAGUUAAUGAUUAAAUAAUAAUGAGUGAAAUAGAAGCAAAUAUGUAGAUAGUUUAAAUUCUGUUUGUUAUUCUGUAGCAAUUCGUCUAGUUUUAUUUUUAUUAUUAUUAUUUUUUUGUUAGCAUAUAGUGAUUAAGGUUUUAAUAUAUAGAGAAAUGUAAUUAAAUAUUGGAAGUAUGAUAUUAUGUGGAUAUCAUUCGAAUUUAUAAUAUUGGAAAGUUAAAACUCAGUUCUAGGCUUGGAAUCGGAGAAUAUGAAACUUGACAUAUUAAUCGGAUCAAAACUUAUGAACUUGACUAUAGUUUUGGGUGAAUUUUUAAUUUAGGCAAGAUAUAUAGCAAUAUGGUUGUUGUAGUUUUGAAAGCUUACUCUGAUUAUGUACUUGAAUAGAUUCCAUUGAUUUGGAAGCUCAACGGAAAGGGAAGGCUCAAGUCCAAGAGUAAUUAUUCGAUUGGCUAAGACAAGUGGAUUUCUAAACUCUUGUUAAGCGUAUGAAAUUCGUGUAUUUCCUUGUGUGGUGUUGAGAACGAUUUGGAGACUUGUUGCUUAUUUGUUAGUGUUGUAUUCCUUGCUGUAAAUUGUGUUUUUGUUAUCAAAAUGGUUAUCUCCUCAUUUUCAUUUGAGCAUGUCAAUUGCAUUGUAUAUGAGACAUGAUUAUGGUAUAAGGAUGUAUCAUUUCGAGGGUCGUAUCGCGCGCCGCGAUGGAUAUUAUAUUCGAGGGACAUAUCGCGCGCCGCGAAGGUUGAUAUUAUCGAGGGUCGUGUCGUACGCCGCGAUAGGUGCAUGGACAGAUAUGUCCCCCAUGGGUCUCGGACUGAGAGACAGCGGGUGUGUAUCGUUAGGAAAGACAUGCAUCACUAUACUUGACAUUGCAUCUCAUGGCAUUGCACAUCUUAUUAUUGAUGAACUUGAAAACGUGUUUUGCUGACCUUGUGAGUGUUUCUCUGUGAAGCCUGUGACUGUUGAAUGUUGAGUUGUUAUUGAGAAUGUGUAAACUGAUAGAGUGUGGUUAUUGAGUUGUGUUUGGUAAACUGUAAACUGUUAGACUGCAGCGUAGAAGUUUACAUAGGGUGUAAGGAGUGCCCGUAUUUUGUUCACUUAACUUGUGUUUAGAGGUUUGUUUGUUGGGUACCGCGUGG
rnacentral:lncRNA from 1 species